GGGCCAUAUCAUGUUGAAAUACCGGUUCUCAUACGAUCACGGAAGUUAAGCAACGUCGAGCUUGGUUAUUACCUAGAUGGGUGACCGUUUGUGAAUAUCAGGUGCUGUAAG
rnacentral:rRNA from 1 species